UAGGGAAUCUUCGGCAAUGGACGAAAGUCUGACCGAGCAACGCCGCGUGAGUGAAGAAGGUUUUCGGAUCGUAAAACUCUGUUGUUAGAGCAGAACAAGGACGUUAGUAACUGAACGUCCCCUGACGGUAUCUAACCAGAAAGCCACGGCUAACUACGUGCCAGCAGCCGCGGUAAUACGUAGGUGGUAAGCGUUGUCCGGAUUUAUUGGGCGUAAAGCGAGCGCAGGCGGUUUCUUAAGUCUGAUGUGAAAGCCCCCGGCUCAACCGGGGAGGGUCAUUGGAAACUGGGAGACUUGAGUGCAGAAGAGGAGAGUGGAAUUCAAUGUGUAGCGGUGAAAUGCGUAGAUAUAUGGAGGAACACCAGUGGAGAAGGCGGCUCUCUGGUCUGUAACUGACGCUGAGGCUCGAAAGCGUGGGGAGCAAACAGG
rnacentral:rRNA from 1 species